GAUGAACGCUGGCGGCGUGCCUAAUACAUGCAAGUCGAGCGAACAGACGAGAAGCUUGCUCCUCUGACGUUAGCGGCGGACGGGUGAGUAACACGUGGAUAACCUACCUAUAAGACUGGGAUAACUUCGGGAAACCGGAGCUAAUACCGGAUGAUAUUUUGAACCGCAUGGUUCAAUAGUGAAAGACGGUCUUGCUGUCACUUAUAGAUGGAUCCGCGCCGCAUUAGCUAGUUGGUAAGGUAACGGCUUACCAAGGCAACGAUGCAUAGCCGACCUGAGAGGGUGAUCGGCCACACUGGAACUGAGACACGGUCCAGACUCCUACGGGAGGCAGCAGUAGGGAAUCUUCCGCAAUGGGCGAAAGCCUGACGGAGCAACGCCGCGUGAGUGAUGAAGGUCUUCGGAUCGUAAAACUCUGUUAUUAGGGAAGAACAUAUGUGUAAGUAACUGUGCACGUCUUGACGGUACCUAAUCAGAAAGCCACGGCUAACUACGUG
rnacentral:rRNA from 1 species